ensembl:lncRNA
CACAAAGCCGUGACAUCACUGUGCGGACAAUUUUAGCUCUCAGGACUGUUUACUGGCAGAAGAUCCAGCCCGUGACCAAUUAACUCCAGCUCGCUAUGGGAGACUGGGGGUGAUGCCAUUGUAUCCUGUGAAGGCAGGAUACAAGUUGGCGCCUCCCUGCUUCCUCUUAUCUGGGUGGCAAGGCCAGGAAGAUGGGAACAAAGGAGUUUCUGCUGAGAUCCCAGAGCCACAAGCUGCCACUCCAAGGAGAGCUGACUCGACCGCUUUGGAUUUGAGCUGCCCCUCCAAAGAGAGCUGACUCAGUCACUUUGGAUUUGAGCUGUCACUCCAAAGAGAGCUGACUCGACCACGUUGGGCUUAUAAAUGAGUUUGUACUACCAUUCAAAAGUGGCCAUCGUCACCGUGGUCAUCACCGUCAUCGUCAACAGAACAACAACGCCUGCUGACCCAGCACAACUGAAGAUCAGUGACUGAACCACGAACCAUGCUGGAUCCAUGCGGUGCCUAUCUCCCUCUAGCUUCCUCUAGAAAUUCCCUGCUUCUUCUUUCCCAUCCUUUCUACCACCCUCCUUCCCUUCUUCAUUACCCUCACUCCUAAUUGCGUCCAUCCUCCCCUUCCCCACCUCCCUGAUUAAGAUCUGUAAUAAACUGGUCGGACCAACAUUCGAACCGUUGUUUCUUAAUCUCACGCCAGGUGUACGGAUAUUAAAAGAACCUCCUCUGCCUCCUAUAAAUUGGAGCGAGACACUGCGUUCAUGCGCUCUGCUGUCAGCAAGCUGAGAGCCUCCAGGUCAGUUUUAUGAAAAAAAAUAUAUAGAAACUGCGAUUGAGGGAUUGCUUCAGGUGGGCUUUCUUCGCUUUUUUUUUCUCGUUCCUCCUUUUUUCCCCCCUUCCUCUAUUUCUUUCCCCUUCCCCCCCCUUUCUCUUUCUUUUCCCAUUCUUCCUCUCUUUUUCCCUCCUUCCUCAUUUUUCUCUCCACUUUCUCUCUGUUUUUCCCCCUUCCUCUAUUUCUUUCGCCUUCCUCUAUUUCCACCUCUUUCUCUUCCCCCCCCCCUUCCACUGUUUUUUUCCCCUUCCUCUUUUAUUUUCCCCUUUCUUUUUUUCCCCCCUUACUCUGUUUUUUUUACCCCUUUCUCUUUUUCUUCCCCUUCCUCUUUUUUCUCCCCCCUUACUCUCAUUUUGGUUCCCCUUCCCCUUUUUUUUCCCCCCUCCCUGACCCCGCCAAAACCUGCCUUACCAAAUUACUGCACCUGAAGCCCAGGGCCCGCCGCCAUUUCACACGCAAUGCUGGGAGCUUCCUUCUCCCCGGCUGCGUCCCGUUCUUCGGUUCCUCUGCAGCCGAGCUCAGAGCCCCGCUUUGCCUCGCAGACCGCAGAGCCGUUUUCUGCCGCUCGCACCAGGGAGCGAAGGGACGCAAAAAAGCUCAGCGGACGCCGCGUGACGUCACCGAGCCGCGGCGCGCGGUGAUGACGUCACAUCCGGACUGGAGCGGAAGCGGAAGCAGAAGGGGGCGGGCGGGAGGCUGAUACAGGGGGAGCUGCGCUGCGCUGCUUUGCGCUGCUUGUCGUUCGGUGCCGCCCCGCAGCGCUGCGGGAAGCGAUGGCAGCGGCUGCCAUCCAGCACGGUGUGCUUCCUGCAACCGGCGCGUCUCGUCUGCGAGGGAAAACCUUCAGCCCGAGGUGGUGACGGCCCAGGGGUGGGGGAGGGGGGCACUCGGGUGAGGAGCGUCCCGUCCGAUCGCCCUUGAGCCGCGUCCGGCUGCGGCGUGCCUCCCAAAAGCGGCCGCGGGCCGUGCGCCGUACCGGGCUCGGUGGUUUCCCAGGGCCGCUUUUAGCCGUGCGCCGGGAGGACGGCAGGCUUCGCGAAGAAGUGCGUCUGCUCAGCGCGUUGGGCGUCCCUUCACCUCUCUCGUUUACCCCCGCGGCCUUCGAUGCUCUGCUGUCGUUGUGGCUGUGCGAGCCCCGUCCCAGGCGAUGGGGAGGAGGGAGCGUCCCGCAGCACUGCGCGGAGGGGGGGCUGCGACUGAACCCCAGCGCGCUUCGGUUGCUGCCAACUCUGCGUCUUUAUGACGGGCGGCAGCUUGGCAAGAUGGGCCUGGAAAGGAAGGGGUCACAGAAUCACAGAAUUGCCAGGGUUGGUUAAAGAAAGCAUCCCAGGGGAUCUCGGCCAACAGACCAUUGAACAGCUUAAAGUUUGCUCUCCCAAAGUUCAGGGUCCUGACGCCACUCUUCACCAGGCCCGCAUCUCUUGAGAUCACAAACUCGACCGGAGCGUGGUCACUGCAACCCACGCUGCCUCCAACCUUAACACCAUUAAUUAUUUCCUCCACAUUGGUGAGCAGCAGGUCCAGCAACGCUUCACCUCUGGUCGGUCUGUCCAACGCCUGGACCAGAAAGUUAUCGUCAACACAUUCUAGGAGCCUCCUGGACCUCUUGCAAUUUGCCGUGUGGUCUAUCCAGGAGAUAUCCGGAUGGCUGAAGUCCCCCAUCAGGACAAGAGCCCGUGAGCAUGAAGCCUCCCGCAUCU